rnacentral:rRNA from 1 species
GGGAAUUUUGGGCAAUGGGCGAAAGCCUGACCCAGCAACGCCGCGUGAGGGAUGAAGUAUUUCGGUAUGUAAACCUCGAAAGCAUGGGAAGAAUAAAUGACGGUACCAUUUAUAAGCUCCGGCUAACUACGUGCCAGCAGCCGCGGUCAUCCGUAGGGAGCAAGCGUUGUUCGGAUUUACUGGGCGUAAAGGGCGCGUAGGCGGCGCGGUAAGUCACUUGUGAAAUCUCUGAGCUUAACUCAGAACGGCCAAGUGAUACUGCUGUGCUAGAGUGCGGAAGAGGCAACCAGAAUUCUUGGUGUAGCGGUGAAAUGCGUAGAUAUCAAGAGGAACACCUGAGGCGAAGGCGGGUUGCUGGGCCGACACUGACGCUGAUGCGCGAAAGCCAGGGGAGCAAACG